AUGUGGCGCAGCCGCGUGUCGCGGGGCCUCCGGGAGGCCAAGGCCGCCGCCGCCGCCGCGUCCAGGCGCUUCUCCACCACCUCGUCCUACACGGUGGUGGAUCACACCUACGAUGCGGUCGUGGUUGGCGCUGGAGGCGCGGGGCUCAGGGCCGCGAUUGGGCUCUCGGAGCAUGGGUUCAACACCGCCUGCAUCACCAAGCUCUUCCCCACGCGGUCACAUACCGUGGCAGCGCAGGGAGGUAUAAACGCUGCUCUUGGAAACAUGAGUGAAGAUGACUGGAGGUGGCAUAUGUAUGAUACAGUCAAGGGAAGUGAUUGGCUCGGUGACCAAGAUGCUAUCCAGUAUAUGUGUAGAGAAGCACCAAAGGCUGUUAUAGAGCUUGAGAACUAUGGAUUACCAUUUUCCAGAACUGAAGAUGGAAAAAUUUAUCAACGCGCUUUUGGAGGCCAAAGCUUAGAUUUUGGAAAAGGUGGUCAGGCCUAUCGAUGUGCAUGCGCUGCUGACAGAACAGGGCAUGCUAUGCUACACACACUUUAUGGGCAGGCGAUGAAGCACAAUACUCAGUUUUUUGUUGAAUAUUUUGCGCUGGACCUUAUCAUGGACAAAGAAGGCACCUGCCAGGGGGUAAUUGCACUAAACAUGGAGGAUGGUACCCUUCAUCGUUUCCGUUCAACAAAUACUAUUUUAGCAACAGGAGGUUAUGGCAGAGCUUACUUCUCUGCUACUUCAGCUCACACAUGUACUGGUGAUGGCAAUGCUAUGGUUGCACGUGCUGGGUUACCCCUUCAGGAUCUUGAGUUUGUGCAGUUCCAUCCUACAGGCAUUUACGGUGCUGGAUGCCUUAUAACUGAAGGUUCCCGGGGCGAAGGUGGUAUUCUUAGGAACAGCGAAGGUGAGAGGUUCAUGGAACGAUAUGCCCCUACCGCUAAAGAUCUUGCAUCUCGUGAUGUUGUUUCAAGAUCUAUGACUAUGGAAAUUAGAGAAGGACGUGGUGUAGGACCAAUGAAGGACCAUCUCUACCUGCACCUUAAUCAUCUUCCUCCAGAAGUUCUGAAGGAAAGGCUUCCUGGUAUAUCUGAGACUGCUGCUAUUUUUGCUGGUGUUGAUGUCACCAAAGAGCCUAUUCCUGUUUUGCCGACUGUGCAUUAUAAUAUGGGCGGUAUCCCGACAAAUUAUCAUGGGCAGGUGGUGGAUAUCAAGGGUGAUAACCCAGACACAAUUAUUCCUGGUCUGAUGGCUGCUGGGGAGGCAGCUUGUGCAUCUGUUCAUGGAGAGACACAGAAACCUCUUGAAAAAGACGCAGGGGAGAAGACCAUUGCUUGGUUGGACAAGCUGAGAAAUGCUAAUGGAUCACUGCCAACUUCGAAGAUCCGCCUCAACAUGCAACGUAUUAUGCAAAAUAAUGCUGCAGUUUUCCGCACACAGGAAACUCUAACAGAAGGUUGCGAGCUGAUUAGUGAAGCACAGAAAAGUUUCCACGAUGUCAAGCUCAGUGACAGAAGUCUCAUAUGGAAUUCGGAUUUGAUAGAGACCAUAGAAUUAGAAAACCUGCUAAUAAAUGCAUGCAUAACCAUGCAUUCAGCUGAGGCUCGCCAAGAGAGCAGAGGAGCUCAUGCUCGUGAAGAUUUCAAGACAAGAGAUGACGACAAGUGGAUGAAGCACUCGCUAGGGUACUGGGAGGAUGAAAAGGUUAGACUAGAAUACAGGCCAGUUCACAUGAACACCUUGGAUGAUGAAGUCGAGACUUUCCCGCCGAAGGCACGUGUUUACUAA
rnacentral:rRNA from 1 species